rnacentral:rRNA from 1 species
AUCGAACGCUGGCGGCAGGCCUAACCCAUUCAAUUCGCACGAGUAGCUGACGGGUGAGUAAUGUCUGGGAAACUGCCCGAUGGAGGGGCAUAACUACUUGAAACUGUAUCUAAUACCGCAUACCAUCGGAUGUGCCCAGAUGUGAUUAGCUAGUAGGUGGGGUAACGGCUCACCUAGGCGACGAUCCCUAGCUGGUCUGAGAGGAUGACCAGCCACACUGCAACGGAGACAUGGGACAUACUCCAGCGGGAGGCAGCAGGGGGGAAGAUCGCACAAAGGGCGAAAGUCUGAUGCAGCCCUGCCGAGUGUAUGAAGAAGGCCUCCGGGUUGUAAAGGACUUCCAGCGAGGAGGCGUUACUCGGACAAGAAGCACCGGCUAACCGCGUGCCAGCAGCCGCGGUAAUUC